rnacentral:lncRNA from 1 species
UACUUACUGGCUAGAUGGGAAGUACUGUACUGUACUGGCUAGACGGGAGGUACUGUACUGGCUGGAUGGGAGGUACAGUACUGGCUAGAUGGGAGGUACAGUACUGGCUAGAUGGGAGGUACAGUACUGGCUGGAUGGGAGGUACAGUACUGGCUAGAUGGGAGGUACAGUACUGGCUAGAUGGGAGGUACAGUACUGGCUGGAUGGGAGGUACAGUACUGGCUAGAUGAGGUACAGUACUGGCUAGAAGGGAGGUACAGUUCAGUACUGGUUAGAAGGGAGGUACUGUAUUGGUGGGAGGUACAGUACUGGUUAGAAGGGAGGUACAGUACUGGCUAGAAUGGAGGUACAGUACUGGCUUGGUGGGAGGUACAGUAUUGUACUGGGUGGAUGGGAAUAUGUAAACCCAGCCAACAUAUCUGGGUUAGUAUUCUGUAUGUGAAAUUGAGACAUCCAGGCCCGCUAGCCAAAACUCAACGGUGUGUGACUGACAGCUACAUGAACAUUAACUAUGUUACUCUUAUAAUGACCAUUUGGGGGGAGGGGGGCUUAUGUUGGUCCUGGUACACACCUGUACAAGUCUGUAAUGGAAAUGUGUUUCUUACAUACUGAGACCCUGAGGGAGUGGGGUCGCGACCUUUUAUGGUGAUACCAUUCAGUAUUGGCUUCUGUACUCACAACCCUAUUUUCUAAACCAGACACAGUGAUGUGUGCAGUCUGGUUGAAUAUUGCUAUUCAGGCAUGUGAGCCAUCGUCACAACCCAGUCAAAAUGUUGCUUUUUCUCACCCUCCUUGCCUUUUUAA